GUUAAACCCCCUCCUUUACUAA
rnacentral:tRNA from 1 species